UGUCCGUGAUAACGCGAUGGUGGUUAUCGCGGCUAUGAUUUUGAAAUUGCAAUGAUGCAACUUCAUCGAUGAAGGAUCCGAGUAGAGUGUAGCCGAGUAGACUUGCUACACAGAAUACGCUGGUAAGUGAUUUCAACCACGAGCACCCGUAGAAAGUGCCGGCAAAUUGAGCACUUGAACGCGAAGAAGACGUCAACGCGCGAACAGCCUCUCGCGUUACAAGAAUUCAAGGAUCGCUUUCGAGUAUAUUAGUCUGCUUACGGGCCAUUCGACUAACAACAAUUCAUUUUUCUCCGUUUAUUGCCUUCGUGCUGCCGGUAGACCGUGAAUCACAAAUUGUCCAGAAAAUAUAUUGGCUGUUGGAUUGAUGUUACGAAUCAUUUAAGGCGAUAAACUGUACUAUGAUCACUUCAACUCAUGAAUUCCAAAACAAAGAAUUAUUGGUAUCAGAUUUGUUAAGUUUCUAAGGAAAACACAUGAAACCAACGUUAAAAUAUGAAAAAAUAUAUAUCAAAGUAAAA